GUGGAUUAGAUACCCUAGUAGUCCGCGCGGUAAACGAUGGAUGCCCGCUGUUGGGCCAACUGGUUCAGCGGCCAAGCGAAAGCAUUAAGCAUCCCACCUGGGGAGUACGCCGGCAACGGUGAAACUCAAAGGAAUUGACGGGGGCCCGCACAAGCGGAGGAACAUGUGGUUUAAUUCGAUGAUACGCGAGGAACCUUACCCGGGCUUGAAUUGCAGAGGAAGGAUUUGGAGACAAUGACGCCCUUCGGGGCCUCUGUGAAGGUGCUGCACGGCUGUCGUCAACU
rnacentral:rRNA from 1 species